rnacentral:rRNA from 1 species
GACGAACGCUGGCGGCGUGCCUAAUACAUGCAAGUCGAACGCAGUGGGGACGGGUGAGUAACACGUGGGUAACCUCCCCUCAGAGGUGAUAACACUUGGAAACAGGUGCUCAACCGCUACUGCUGGAUGGACCCGCGGUGCAUUAGCUAGUUGGUGCGGUAACGGCUCACCAAGGCCACGAUGCAUAGCCGACCUGAGAGGGUGACCGGCAACACGGGGACUGAGACACGGCCCAGACUCCAACGGGAGGCAGCAGGAGGGAAUCUUCGGCAAUGGACGAAAGUCUGACCGAGCAACGCCGCGUGAGUGAAGAAGGUUUUCGGAUAGUAAAACUCUGUUGUUAGAGAAGCGGUAGCUAACCAGAAAGCCACGGCUAACUACGUGCCAGCAGCCGCGGUAAUAC